rnacentral:rRNA from 1 species
ACGCUGGCGGCGUGCCUAAUACAUGCAAGUCGAACGCUUCUUUCCUCCCGAGUGCUUGCACUCAAUUGGAAAGAGGAGUGGCGGACGGGUGAGUAACACGUGGGUAACCUACCCAUCAGAGGGGGAUAACACUUGGAAACAGGUGCUAAUACCGCAUAACAGUUUAUGCCGCAUGGCAUAAGAGUGAAAGGCGCUUUCGGGUGUCGUUGAUGGAUGGACCCGCGGUGCAUUAGCUAGUUGGUGAGGUAACGGCUCACCAAGGCCACGAUGCAUAGCCGACCUGAGAGGGUGAUCGGCCACACUGGGACUGAGACACGGCCCAGACUCCUACGGGAGGCAGCAGUAGGGAAUCUUCGGCAAUGGACGAAAGUCUGACCGAGCAACGCCGCGUGAGUGAAGAAGGUUUUCGGAUCGUAAAACUCUGUUGUUAGAGAAGAACAAGGACGUUAGUAACUGAACGUCCCCUGACGGUAUCUAACCAGAAAGCCACGGCUAACUACGUGCCAGCAGCCGCGGUAAUACGUAGGUGGCAAGCGUUGUCCGGAUUUAUUGGGCGUAAAGCGAGCGCAGGCGGUUUCUUAAGUCUGAUGUGAAAGCCCCCGGCUCAACCGGGGAGGGUCAUUGGAAACUGGGAGACUUGAGUGCAGAAGAGGAGAGUGGAAUUCCAUGUGUAGCGGUGAAAUGCGUAGAUAUAUGGAGGAACACCAGUGGCGAAGGCGGCUCUCUGGUCUGUAACUGACGCUGAGGCUCGAAAGCGUGGGGAGCAAACAGGAUUAGACACCCUGGUAGUCCACGCCGUAAACGAUGAGUGCUAAGUGUUGGAGGGUUUCCGCCCUUCAGUGCUGCAGCAAACGCAUUAAGCACUCCGCCUGGGGAGUACGACCGCAAGGUUGAAACUCAAAGGAAUUGACGGGGGCCCGCACAAGCGGUGGAGCAUGUGGUUUAAUUCGAAGCAACGCGAAGAACCUUACCAGGUCUUGACAUCCUUUGACCACUCUAGAGAUAGAGCUUUCCCUUCGGGGACAAAGUGACAGGUGGUGCAUGGUUGUCGUCAGCUCGUGUCGUGAGAUGUUGGGUUAAGUCCCGCAACGAGCGCAACCCUUAUUGUUAGUUGCCAUCAUUUAGUUGGGCACUCUAGCGAGACUGCCGGUGACAAACCGGAGGAAGGUGGGGAUGACGUCAAAUCAUCAUGCCCCUUAUGACCUGGGCUACACACGUGCUACAAUGGGAAGUACAACGAGUCGCUAGACCGCGAGGUCAUGCAAAUCUCUUAAAGCUUCUCUCAGUUCGGAUUGCAGGCUGCAACUCGCCUGCAUGAAGCCGGAAUCGCUAGUAAUCGCGGAUCAGCACGCCGCGGUGAAUACGUUCCCGGGCCUUGUACACACCGCCCGUCACACCACGAGAGUUUGUAACACCCGAAGUCGGUGAGGUAACCUUUUUGGAGCCAGCCGCCUAAGGUGGGAUAGAUGAUUGGGGUGAAG